rnacentral:lncRNA from 1 species
UAACCACCGUAAGCAAUCGUACUCUUGAGAACCAGAACCACUUCUGCUCUUGAAGUGGGACCUGUCGUUUGAGAGCUGAUACGAGAGGACUGCUCCAGGGUUGUAGACACAAGAUCCGCCACCUCACCUCGAUAUCGCGGUUUUGCAGAGACAGAUCGAUCGGCCUGGAAUCUUCCCGCGGUCUUCUGGUGGACGCCCUGUGAAGUGUGGAGUGCACGAAUAGAGCCAUUUUACAAACCGUGGCCCCUCAGAGACAUUUCGAUGUGGUGGACAGGGCACCUGUCUUGUUCCGGGGGCCCGCACCGGGCCAUGAUGGAAGGAAACAACGGUAACAGGUCGGUCAAGGACCCCGGUGAGUAUGGCGAAGCCAGACCGUGUGUCCAGUCGAACAGCAGCCUUUCUGCGUCUCUCUAAACACGUAUUCCCUACUCCUUACGAUGCUGCCUCCGAUUUGAAUGACGAAUCUUCUCUGUUAGUGAGCCUGUAUGCGGUAGAAACACUGUUUUCCACAGGACAAAUGAUAUGCCUGUAUUAACACCGAUGUCUUCUCUUGCUACACCGAUUCAGAUCGGUCGCUGAGUACGGAAGUUUUAGCUCUCGGACCACAUCACAUUGGGCAACGUACCGUUCAUAUGGGUUUUCCGGAAAGGCCUUCUCAAUAUCGCGUGUCAUCAGAGAAUUACAUUGUCGCGUUCCCUUUCGCUCAAAUCCUGAGGUGUUGAGAUGCGAACGAUGAAGUUUACUUAGUACCGCUGUCAGAGACUGCCAACUCACACAAAAUGUACUCAACUGCCCUGGCCUUUCUGAGCAUUUUCAGGUAGCUAAAAAUGCGCCGAUACUUCUGGGAGGUAGCAAGCACGCAGAACGACGCCCAUUUCCCUCGGGGGCGGACGGAGUCAUUGUGACGACAGUUCGUCGGAGUUAUAUCUUUUCGUCAGCUGUGAAUCCGGUGGCAAGAAUCGAUCAACUCCUCAAAACGGCGGUGCCCAUCAGAUAAACUUGCUCCCAGAGCACUUUCACUGCUCAUGUGUUUGUCACCCUAAGUAGGAGAUCUUGACGAACACCGGAGCUCGCUGACAAGCAUACCGUGUGGGACGUCUUUUGGUUUCAGCGUGUCCAGGCACUUUCUUACAUGCGUAUCCUCGACUGAGGGGUCACUCGCCACCAGCGGCUUUUACCCUACAUGAGUUCGCGGCUGACCUGUGUCGUUCCAAGCGGUGAGCAUAGGGGAAGUGUUCUCUAUCCUUACCACGCGCUGGGGGAAGGGAAGAGAUGCAUCUCCGCCUAUAAUCUGGAAAAAGGCAGGCGUGAGCAAACAUUGCUUAGCACACGAAUGUUAAUAAGAGCUCAAUUCAUGGCUGGUUCCUAACUUGACCACUUUAACUUAAAGGCUUUUCCUGGAUGCA